rnacentral:misc_RNA from 1 species
GUAUUUAUAAAAAGUUACAUUCGAGGCUUUGAAGUGUGUGAUUACGGCGGGUUACCCCGCGACGGUGCACAGGUGUGUGGAAAACGGCGUGCGGCCAAAAAGGCGCACAGCCGGAAUUCGAUAAUGAUCCUUCCGCAGGUUCACCUACGGAAA